ACAGAGGGUGCAAGCGUUAAUCGGAGUUAAUAGGCGUAAAGGGCGCGUAGGCUGAUAUUUAAGUCGAUUGUGAAAUCCCUGGGCUUAACCUAGGAAUUGCAGCUGAUACUGAAUGUCUUGAGUAUGGUAGAGGGAAGUAGAAUUCUCGGUGUAGUGGUUAAAUGCGUAGAGAUCGGGAAGAACACCGGUGGCGAAGGCGGCUUGCUGGAUCAAUACUGACGCUGAGGCGCGAAAGCGUGGGGAGCAAACAG
rnacentral:rRNA from 1 species